CCAGUAAGUUCGUUUUUGUUUUUCUGUUUUUAGGAACUUUUGUUUGGUUGCUGGGAAACGGAAGAAAAAAGAAAAAAAAAAUGAUUUUUAUGUGGUCUGUUAUUUGUUUGGGCUCGAUCACUCGAGGUUUUUUUUCUCUUCGAGAAUGAAAAUUUUAUUUGUAUUCAAAUUUGCAAACAGAACAUCAAGUCUUGAGGUUCGCUUUGAAAUUUAUAUCUUCUUUUGCAACUUUCUUCCAGAAAUUGCUUGCUUUUCUCCGCUGAUUAUCCCUUUACAUCUGUUUGGUGGUCAUUAAGAUCGAGGGAAAUGAAAAAUAACAUUUGGAAUUGUUUUUGUUUCAGAAAUGGAAAAGGUCGUGUAUUUGACUUGAUUUGGCUUGAAAUUUAAGAAUUUUCAGUUCUUUAAUUUCCCUUUUUUCCUCAGCAACCAACCUAGGUGUGGACGCUAUGUGUACCCUUCUUUAGUUUAUUUGCAUGACAGUAAAGGACUCCUCUGGUAUUUUGAAUUUAAAUGGGAAGUAUAAACAAAGGUCCUUAUUAUUUGGAGAUAUAGCUCUGAGUUGAAACUGUUUAAAUUUUCUACUAUAUUUUCCCAAUUUUCUCGGCAAUCAAACUUAGGAUAAGAUGAUAACCCUUUACCAUGAGAGAGACUUGCAAAGUUAUCAUUUAUAAUUGUCCUAUAUACUCUGUUGUCAUAAGAUGUCCACAACUUGUGUUAUUUUGACAUGAUCUAUCUGAUCUGUCUAAACCAGUCCCACCUUAGUAAUUGUUAGAUAAGGGCACUGUUAGAAACCAUAUCUCUAUAUGGAACCCUGUUUAAAUUUUCUACUAUAUUUUCCCAAUUUUCUCGGCAAUCAAACUUAGGAUAAAAUUUUAACCCUUUACCAUGAGAGAGACUUGCAAGGUUAUCAUUUAUAAUUGUCCUAUAUCUCUGUUGUCAUAAAAUGUCCACAACUUGUGUUAUUUUGACAUGAUCUAUCUGAUCUGUCUAAACCAGUCCCACCUUAGUAAUUGUUAGAUAAGGGCACUGUUAGAAACCUUAUCUCUAUAUGGAACCCUGUAUAUCGGAAAGAUGCCUCAACUUUCUUAUUGAAAGUAAAAGAGAACAAUUUUGCUUUUUGGAUGGUUCAAACUAUUAAAGUUUCUUGCUUUUCUAUAAUUCAAGCUAAUCAUCUUUCUCCUGUUAAAAUCUGAUUAUGCUGGUAUUAUCAUAUUGUUCUGUUGCUUUUAUUGUUUCAGGUUGAUGGUGUAAGAUUAUAUGU
rnacentral:lncRNA from 1 species